UAGCCGUAAACGAUACUCGCUAGGUGUCGGCCACGGUGCGACCGUUGUCGGUGCCGUAGGGAAGCCGUGAAGCGAGCCACCUGGGAAGUACGGCCGCAAGGCUGAAACUUAAAGGAAUUGGCGGGGGAGGCACCACAACGGGUGGAGCUUGCGGUUUAAUUUGGAUUCAACGCCGGGAAGCUCACCGGAUAAGACAGCGGAAUGAUUGCCGGGCUGAAGACCCUGCAUGACCAGCUGAGAGGAGGUGCAUGGCGUAGUCGUGU
rnacentral:rRNA from 1 species